CACAAGAAAAACAGUGUUCGGGGAGAUAACUCUUACAAGGUAAAGUUUUUUGUUACGCGGUGUCAGUUUCAGAAGCGUAUUAACUGUUCGAUAUCAUAUACCAUAUAUCUAAGCGACAUCUUGUGAAACAAAAAAACAGCGAAGGAAAAAAAAAUUUGGCGGAAGAAAAAAAAAAAUAAUAAUCAGAACAAAAACAAUAGGUCUUUCAGAAAGGUUGAAAGACCUAAUAUAUAGGUCUUUCAACUGAAAGGUUGAAAGACCUAAUAAUAAUCAGAACAAAUACAAUAGGUCUUUCAACAGAAAGGUUGAAAGACCUAAUAAUCAGAACAA
rnacentral:lncRNA from 1 species